rnacentral:rRNA from 1 species
GACAGAGGCCUCAAGCGUUGUUCGGAUUUACUGGGCGUAAAGAGUGUGUAGGCGGUGCUCUAAGUUCGGUGUGAAAUCUCCCGGCUCAACUGGGAGGGUGCGCCGAAAACUGGAGUGCUGGAGCGCGGGAGAGGAAAGCGGAAUUCCUGGUGUAGCGGUGAAAUGCGUAGAUAUCAGGAGGAACACCGGCGGUGUAGACGGCUUUCUGGACCGUAGCUGACGCUGAGACACGAAAGCGUGGGUAGCAAACAGG